AGGACGAACGCUGGCGGCGUGCUUAACACAUGCAAGUCGAGCGGAAAGGCCCUUCGGGGUACUCGAGCGGCGAACGGGUGAGUAACACGUGGGCAACCUGCCCUCAGCUCUGGGAUAACUCCGGGAAACCGGGGCUAAUACCGGAUACGACCACUCCUGGCAUCUGGGGUGUGGAAAGUUUUUCGGCUGAGGAUGGGCCCGCGGCCUAUCAGCUUGUGGUGGGUCACGGCCACCAAGGCGACGACGGGUAG
rnacentral:rRNA from 1 species